rnacentral:tRNA from 2 species
UGCGGGGUGGAGCAGUUGGUAGCUCGCCGGGCUCAUAACCCGGAGGUCGUUGGUUCAAAUCCAGCCCCCGCGACCA